CAAAAGUCGUGGGAAAAUGUAGUUUUCAAGGUUACUCCACAAUCAAAUAAAACCACUUCUAAAAAAUAAUUGACACAUUUAUGUUUUGCGUUAGGUGGUAAAUGUGUGAACUUACUCAGAAAUGCUGUUGGCAGAGGAGGAAUGUCGGGUGCUUUCAGAGACCAGUUAACGUUAAACAAGCUAGCUAAAUAAACGGCCUCUAAAGACAGCAGGUUAAUGGUGGACAGGUCCAGCAGGCCGAGCGACUCCAUUUUGAAAAGUUUGAGGCCUGUUUCACCAGGUGAGCCCGGUGGCCAUUGAUGCAGGUAUAACGAACAAAAAGGAAACUUUCAAGAAAUGAUGAGGAAAUGGCGGACCUGUGACAUAAAGCGUUACUGAAACCCCAUGCGGGAGCACCUGAUCAAAAUAUGUUUUUGAGUUGGGUGUAAAGGCGCCGCACAUAUCCACACUGAGA